rnacentral:rRNA from 1 species
UGGGGAAUUUUGCGCAAUGGGCGAAAGCCUGACGCAGCAACGCCGCGUGAGUGAUGAAGGCCUUCGGGUCGUAAAGCUCUGUCAGAGGGGAAGAACCGCCAGGUGGCUAAUACCUGCCUGGUCUGACGGUACCCUCAAAGGAAGCACCGGCUAACUCCGUGCCAGCAGCCGCGGUAAUACGGAGGGUGCAAGCGUUGUUCGGAAUUAUUGGGCGUAAAGCGCGUGUAGGCGGUUUGUUAAGUCUGGUGUGAAAGCCCUGGGCUCAACCUGGGAAGUGCAUUGGAUACUGGCAAACUUGAGUACGGGAGAGGAUAGUGGAAUUUCGAGUGUAGGGGUGAAAUCCGUAGAUAUUCGAAGGAACACCGGUGGCGAAGGCGGCUAUCUGACCGAUACUGACGCUGAGACGCGAAAGCGUGGGGAGCAAACAGG